rnacentral:rRNA from 1 species
GACGUAGGGCGCGAGCGUUGUCCGGAUUUAUUGGGCGUAAAGAGCUCGUAGGCGGUUUGUUGCGUCGGCUGUGAAAACCCGAGGCUCAACCUCGGGCCUGCAGUCGAUACGGGCAAACUAGAGUACUGCAGGGGAGACUGGAAUUCCUGGUGUAGCGGUGAAAUGCGCAGAUAUCAGGAGGAACACCGGUGGCGAAGGCGGGUCUCUGGGCAGUAACUGACGCUGAGGAGCGAAAGCGUGGGGAGCGAACAGG